rnacentral:rRNA from 1 species
AUACCGCCUAUAUACCGCCGUCGCCAGCCCACCCCGCAAGCGCCCCGCAGUGGGCUAAACAAGUAUAACCUGGGACGUCAGGUCGAGGUGUAGCGAAUGGGGCGGGAAGAAAUGGGCUACAUUCCCUAAAUUAGGGUACCACAAAAAUGCCAUGAAACCUGACACCCCAAGGUGGAUCUAGCAGUAAGGAGAAAACAGAGCGUUCUUCUGAAACUGGCCCUGAAGCUACGUACACACCGCCCGUCACUCUCCCCGAGCCCACCAACACAUCACUAAAAAUCAACUAACUAAGGGGAGGCAAGUCGUAA